UUAUAAGAGACAGCAGCAGCCGCGGUAAUACGAAGGGGGCUAGCGUUGCUCGGAAUUACUGGGCGUAAAGGGCGCGUAGGCGGCGCUCCAAGUUAGGCGUGAAAUUCCCGGGCUCAACCUGGGGACUGCGCUUAAGACUGGAGUGCUUGAGGAUGGAAGAGGGUUGUGGAAUUCCCAGUGUAGAGGUGAAAUUCGUAGAUAUUGGGAAGAACACCGGUGGCGAAGGCGGCAACCUGGUCCAUUACUGACGCUGAGGCGCGAUAGCGUGGGGAGCAAACAGGAUUAGAUACCCGUGUAGUCCCUGUCUCUUAUAC
rnacentral:rRNA from 1 species